AAGUCUGGUCCUGCUAGGACAAAAUCUGCACUUUCUACCUCCUGUGAUGUGUGUGUCACCUGAUACUUAACUUCAAAAUAGCAUUAAUGGAAGCUCUGCUUGUGUAUUCAGAAGAGGAUAUGAAGGACAUUCCUGUUUUUCUACUGGCAGUGCUCUUCUAGACCAUCUUUCAUGACUGCAUGCACAACUGAAAGUGGAAGUACCAGAAUCCCUAGAGAAGCAGCUGAAUACUACUUAGGAGGAGAGAGAAUGUUGGAGAAGACAGGCUGGUCAGAGGAUGGCUUGGAAGACUAGAGAACUGGAAUGAGAGCUUUCUCAAGAUUUUCAAUGAAGGGUAAGCCUAGAGGCCUCAGUCAUGGAUCCAGGCUCCCCUAUGGUAGGCACUGUACAAACACAUAUCAAAGAAAUGGACCCUGCCCUGGAGAGCUUACAAUCUAAGUAUAAGGU